rnacentral:rRNA from 1 species
AAACUUUCAACAACGGAUCUCUUGGCUCUGGCAUCGAUGAAGAACGCAGCGAAAUGCGAUACAUAAUGUGAAUUGCAGAAUCCAGUGAAUCAUUGAAUCUUUGAACGCACAUUGCGCCCGCUAGUAUCCUAGCAGGCAUGCCUAUUCGAGCGUCUUUU